rnacentral:rRNA from 1 species
CCUACGGGGGGCAGCAGUGGGGAAUAUUGCACAAUGGGGGAAACCCUGAUGCAGCAACGCCGCGUGAGUGAAGAAGUAUUUCGGUAUGUAAAGCUCUAUCAGCAGGGAAGAGAAUGACGGUACCUGACUAAGAAGCCACGGCUAACUACGUGCAAGCAGCCGCGGUAAUACGUAGGGGGCAAGCGUUAUCCGGAUUUACUGGGUGUAAAGGGAGCGUAGACGGCUGUACAAGUCUGAUGUGAAAGCCCGUGGCUCAACCGCGGAACUGCUUUGGAAACUGUAGAGCUGGAGUGCUGGAGAGGCAGGCGGAAUUCCUAGUGUAGCGGUGAAAUGCGUAGAGAUUAGGAGGAACACCAGUGGCGAAGGCGGCCUGCUAGACAAAAACUGACGUUGAGGCUCGAAAGCGUGGGGAGCAAACAGGAUUAGAUACCCGUGUAGUC